AAGCAGUCUAAGAACAGAGAGAGCGACAGAGAGAGAGAGAGGGAGAAAGACACGCAUCCCACAUGCACCAAGAAGUAGGGGCCCACAUAACACCUCCCCCCUUAAAAGGUUUCCUACAAAGAGGAAGCCAAAUAAGCAAAAUACAUGCAACCAUUUACUCAUAUACUCAGCAGUAAUAACAAACAAUAAUUACCAAGUGGAAACAGGUAAUACCAGCACCAAAAGUACUAUAUAAAUAAUGGUGAUCAUGAUUAAGUAUUCCUAAAAGACAGAUACCUUACAGGUUAAGUAUUUCACACUUAAGGCUCGGUCACCAUUGGCAACUACUUGCUCACGCCCGCACCCGCUUCGGCUAGCUGGACCAGCUGAGCCGCGCGUUAGCCUCUCCACCCGCGGCGCUCGCUCGUGCGUGCCUGGCCUGCCAAAGAUCCAGUUCCACAUUCAAACGGAUUGUUGACGCCUUGCUUGUUAACAGGAGUGUCCGUUUUUUUGUCUGUUUCUGCCCGGCCCCCUUUUUGUUUUCUUUGUGGCUUGCCGUUACUCGUCUGUCACUGUGCCAAGGGGAAAUGCGCGUUGCUAUUUGCAUGGCUAGCAGCCGCCAGGGACAUGGUCGGCGGGCGUAUUGACGAGCCGAAUGCGACGUCUCCAUCGAUGCCUUUUUGUACGGAGAGGAACAUUUGCACAAGUCAACGUCUCAAUAUGACAGCUCUUCCCCCCCCCCAAGUGUUCAGCUGUUAAAAUUGUUGGAAAGGCUGGCGGGUGAAAGCAUUUCAUUGUGUGUUCAUGCCCAGUAUGAAAUAAACGGGUUUAAAAACGA